rnacentral:lncRNA from 1 species
GAAUCACUAAACUCUGUCACCUUACUCAAUGUGUGUGUGUGUGUAUAUAUAUAUAUAUAUAUAGAGUUGAGCUAGAAUACUUGUAAAAGUAUUAUGUGAGUGGUGCUUUUGAGUUUUUAGCCAUUGGAUGGAGAGAUGUGAGGUUGAGAUGAUGGUGGUAGGUGGUGGUAGGUGGAAUAGUGUUUGAUCCAAGGGCUAUUAGCAAUCAAGGAGUAGAUCCAAUAGCUAAAAACCUAAUAGCAUCAUGGGGGUAAUACUUGUAAAAGUAUUCUAGCUCAAUUCUAUAUAUAUAUAUAUAUAUAUAUAGAGUUGAGCUAGAAUACUCUCGAUAGUAAACGAAGCGUUUUACUAUCGAGUUGUUUUCGAUGAUAGAGCUUCCAAAUUGACGAUCGGCUCCGUUGAACAUGAUCUAUACCACUUGAAGUGUUUAGAAAUCAAAUUUCAAAUCUUUUCGACAUCAUUUGCCUAAUGAUCAAAGGGUUUCAAAAUUUGUAAUUUUAAUGGUGAAUAAGAGACGUUUUUUCGUUUAACGGUGUAAAGAUAUCCAAAUCAAUUGAAUUUUUGUUAGAAAAUUCUUUAAACUAUUUAAAACAAGAUCUAUACUCUUGAUCUUGAUUACAAGACUCCUAUCAUCACUUUUUAAAGAAUAUUCAUUUUCAGCCAUUCAUUUUUUGUUCACUAGAUGGAUAAAAGAAUAAUAUCGAAAGUGCGUGAAAUUUGAUUUCUAGGUAGUUUAAAUGGUUUAGAUCAUAUUUAACGGAGCCGAUCGUCAAUUUGAAAGCUCUAUCAUCGAAAACAACUCGAUAGUAAAACGCCCCGUUUACUAUCGAGAGUAUUCUAGCUCAACUCUAUAUAUAUAUAUAUAUAUAUAUCACCUUCAUUUAACAAAUGAAUUUGGGGAAUAAAAACAUUGACAUUGUAGUACAAUUUGGACUAGUUUGUUGAUUAAUUGUACUUGUAAAAUCGAUGCAUGUGCGCACACACACACACACACUUUCUCUCUCUAUCUCUCAUGUUACAUAUUAUUGAACAGUGGUACAAUGUAGGUUGCAACUGUAAGGUGAAUAUUUAGAACUAGUAAAUCAUAAGAUUUUGCAAACAGUACUAUAGCUAGAUUCAAACCUACAUAUAUGCACAUUGUUUAAGCAUGAUAACUACUUGUAUACCUAUGACUAGGUGCCAUGUGAACUUUGGUUUUAGCCUUUGACAAAUUUCAAGAACAAGUCCCUUGUGUUAGUUACUUUGUCUUCAUGCACCCUUUGGCAUAUUCUUGUAGCCAAACAGAUCAUUUGCUAGUGGGUUAACUUAAGAUGAUACUUUUAUGUCCCCCCUAAUUAAUUAAUAUCCAAUGAUCUAGUGAAUAAAGCUACAAUUUGAGCUUUAAAUACUUUUAACCAAAGUCAUUCUCUGUGUACCAAGGGAGUUGAUAUAAAUCUGCUUAUCCAAUGAUCACGGCUCAAUUUUAUCAUAUAUAUAUAAUCUAUUUCAAUCUGAUUUGCCUGUUUCUUUCAUUUUGGCUCCAUCUAAUUCUCCCUGAUUAGUUUCAUCGAGCUGUAAAACUUUCUCUGUCUAUCAGCAUAAGCUUUAAUAAGUUAACUAUAUAAUACGUGCAAAGUGACAGAUCGAAUGGUGGUAUACAUUAAUUGUUUCUUGGAACUAUAAGAUGGAUGCCAUGAGAUCAUCUAGAAGUUCUAGAAGCGGCAAAUCGCAAGACUUUUGCAAACCCUAGCUAGAUCCUUACCUCCAUGCACAUUGUUUAAGCAUAGUAAGUGCCUGCAUAUGCCUACGAGAUUAAGAUGCCAUGUGAACUUUGCUAUUAGCCUUUGACAAAUAAGCUUUUAAGAACAAAACCCUAGAAUUUACUUUGUCCCCACCCUUUCAUAUAUAUAUAUAUAUAUAUAUAUAUAGAGAGAGAGAGAGAGAGAGAGAGAGAGAGAGAGCUAAGCUCCUAUGCUUUCGAAAGUAAGGAGGCUUUCAUACUUGUAAGUUGUUUUCAAUGAUGGGACGUCUGAUUCGGCGAUCGGUUUCGUUAAACAUGAUCUACGCUAUUGGAACUAUCUAGAAACCAAAUUUCAUAAUUUUUUGACUUCGUUUGACUGGUGAACGAGCAGCCUCAAAAUAAACGGCUGAAAAUAAAAAUCUCAUAAAAACUAGUAAUAAAUGACUCAAAUUUCAAAUCGAAAGUAUUGUUCUUACUCUUGAUAUUAAGUAGAAAUUUUUAUCAAAGUUUCAUAUAAUUUGGAUGCUUCUACACUGUUGAAAUUAAAAACAUGCCACAUCGACCGUUAAAAUAGUUAUUUUUGAGACCCUGUGAUCGCUUGGUAAUUGAUGUCAAAAAAUUAUAAAAUUUGGUUUCAUGAUAGUUCUAAUAGCAUAUAUUAUGUCUAACGGAGCCGAUCAUCAAAUUGAAUGUCCUAUUAUCGAAAACAACUUAUAAGUACGGAGGCCUCCGUACUUUCAAAAGCACGGGAGACGUAAUAAUAUAUAUAUAUAUAUAUAUAUAUAUAUAGAGUAGGGCUAGAAUACUUGUAAAAGUAUCAUGGGAGUGAUACUUGUGUGUUUUUAACCCUUGGAUGAAGAGAUGUGAGGUUGAGAUGAUGGUGGUAGGUGGUGGUAGGUGGUGGUAGGUGGAAUAGUGUUUAAUCCAAGGGCUAUUAAUAAUCAAAAAGUAGAUCCAAUGGCUUAAAACCUAAUAGCACCAUGAUGAUGAUACUUGUAAAAGUAUCAUAGCUCAACUCUAUAUAUAUAUAUAUAUAUAUANNNNNNNAUAUAUAUAGAGUAGGCCUAGAAUACUUUUACAAGUAUCACCCAAGUGAUACUUGUGUGUUUUUAGCCAUUGGAUCUACUUUUUGAUUACUAAUAGCCUUUGGAUCAAACACUAUUCCACCUACCACCACCUACCACCACCUACCACCAUCAUCUCAACCUCACAUCUCUCCAUCCAAGGGCUAAAAACACACAAGUAUCACUUAGGUGAUACUUUUACAAGUAUUCUAGCUCUACUCUAUAUAUAUAUAUAUAUAUAUCCUUGUAGCCAUACAUAUGCU